UACGUAGGGCGCAAGCGUUAUCCGGAAUUAUUGGGCGUAAAGAGCUCGUAGGCGGUUUGUCGCGUCUGCCGUGAAAGCCCGGGGCUCAACUCCGGAUCUGCGGUGGGUACGGGCAGACUAGAGUGAUGUAGGGGAGACUGGAAUUCCUGGUGUAGCGGUGAAAUGCGCAGAUAUCAGGAGGAACACCGAUGGCGAAGGCAGGUCUCUGGGCAGUAACUGACGCUGAGGAGCGAAAGCAUGGGGAGCGAACAGG
rnacentral:rRNA from 1 species